rnacentral:lncRNA from 1 species
CACACUCUAUAUGAUGGAAACCUAGUAAACACACUUUAAGAUGUACAUGGUCAUGCAAACAAAUGAUUAAGAUCAUCUAGCAGACUAUUAAUAAGCAUAGCUUCCGAUAGCCUAAUUGACAGGUGCCACUGCUUCCAUUCUUGUAAGGAAUUCUCACCGCCUCUAUGGGAGAUGGGUGGGCACCAAGAGAAGCCAGGCAGCACAUCAUACUCUUAGGGAACGAUAACCAUACAAACUAGGAAAGUACCAAAACACACUCCAAAACAGUCCACAAAUCACAAGGAUCUGAGGACCAAAUGGAGACCACUCUCAGAUUCAACAAACCACAACAAGAAUACAAGAUAUAAGGGCGUGUUUCACAUCAAAUCAACCACCACAAACUAAGUGAACAACAACAAGAUGAUGAACAACAACAACAUGAUAACACAACCCACAGACUACAAGGUUACAAGACACAAACACUACACAAGAAUGCAAGAAAUGGAAAGAUAGGUAGUGUGACAUACAUUAUUUCAUGAACUAAGAACCUAAGUGUGUUUCAAACACAAAGUCCCUUAAUACUAUGAUAAUAGGAACACCUACACUCUUCGGUGGACACAAGAGGGACCGUUGUAUUAGUGUUGGAUUGUGAUUGAUGGUGUGAAUUGAUGAGGCUAGAGUAUAUUAGUAGCAAAUAUAAUAUUGAUGGAGUUGGAAGAGUAGUGGGAUGUUGUAACUUACAUAGGUAAAGUAAUAAUAUUAUUACAACCUUAGUUGAAUUAUUUUCCAUUCAGGAUGUCAUGAUUUAUUUUCCUUAAUUAUAUUUUAUAAUUAUAUGGAUUAACACGGUCAGCCGAUGAUGCCUACCAGUACAUGUGGUUGUACUGAACCUACUCUUCUACAUUUCUUCUUGGAGUGUAGACUGAAUACAGGUUUCACAAGGAUCUGAGGACCAAAUGGAGACCACUCUCAGAUUCAACAAACCACAACAAGAAUACAAGAUAUAAGGGCGUGUUUCACAUCAAAUCAACCACCACAAACUAAGUGAACAACAACAAGAUGAUGAACAACAACAACAUGAUAACACAACCCACAGACUACAAGGUUACAAGACACAAACACUACACAAGAAUGCAAGAAAUGGAAAGAUAGGUAGUGUGACAUACAUUAUUUCAUGAACUAAGAACCUAAGUGUGUUUCAAACACAAAGUCCCUUAAUACUAUGAUAAUAGGAACACCUACACUCUUCGGUGGACACAAGAGGGACCUCAAUCCUUCAACCACCCAACGUUCCAAGAAAGAGAACAACACAAGUGAAUCCACACUUGUUGUUCACCUAGUUUCGGCCAAGCCUCC